rnacentral:rRNA from 1 species
CCUACGGGCGGCAGCAGUGAGGAAUAUUGGUCAAUGGACGCAAGUCUGAACCAGCCAUGCCGCGUGCAGGAAGACGGCUCUAUGAGUUGUAAACUUCUUUUGUACGAGGAUAAACGCAGAUACGCGUAUCUGUCUGACAGUAUCUUACGAAUAAGGAUCGGCUAACUCCGUGCCAGCAGCCGCGGUAAUACGGAGGAUUCAAGCGUUAUCCGGAUUUAUUGGGUUUAAAGGGUGCGUAGGCGGUCGGAUAAGUUAGAGGUGAAAUUCCGAGGCUCAACUUCGGAAUUGCGUCUGAUACUGUUCGGUUAGAGAGUAGUUGCGGUAGGCGGAAUGUAUGGUGUAGCGGUGAAAUGCUUAGAGAUCACAUAGAACACCGAUUGCGAAGGCAGCUUACCAAGCUACUUCUGACGUUGAGGCACGAAAGCGUGGGGAGCAAACAGGAUUAGAUACCCCGGUAGUC